UACAGAGGCCUCGAGCGUUAGGCGGAAUCACUGGGCUUAAAGCGUGUGUAGGUGGAUGCCUAAGUACGUUGUGAAAUCCCACAGCUUAACUGUGGAAUUGCUUGGUAUACUGGGUGUCUUGAGCCACUCAGGGGCUACUGGAACAAACGGUGGAGCGGUGAAAUGCGUAGAUAUCGUUUGGAACGCCAAUGGUGAAAACAGCUCGCUGGGGAUGUGCCGACGCUGAGACACGAAAGCCAGGGGAGCGAACGGG
rnacentral:rRNA from 1 species